AUGAAGUGGUCGGAGGCGCUGGAUCCGCGGCCAAUCAGUCUGCAACGGCGGCAAGACGACGGAGAUCGGGAUUAUAGCACGGAAGAAAGGUCAAGAGAAAUGGAUAUAUUAAGACUCUUUCCUUACUGGCUUGAUACUAAUCAAUGGAAUGCAAUACUGAACGAUGUUAACAUUCCCUCUUUGUUUAUUCUGACUGGUCCAAAUGGUGGAGGUAAAUCCAGCAUGUUGUGUUCAGUCUACACGGCUGCAUUGCUUGGAAUAUGUGGGCUGAUGGUGCCAGCUGCUUCAGCUGUCAUCUCACACUUAAAUUCCAUCAUGUUGCAUAUGAAGGCCUAUGCUACUUGA
rnacentral:rRNA from 1 species